CCCACACAUGACCCUGGGAGGAAAAACAGACCGGAGCCAAUGAAACCAGGAGCCAACACGUGUCUGAAGCUUUCGCUUUACAACGCAUGGUUUUCAGCAAGACAACACGUUACUUUUCUUUGAUUUCGCAUGAGCAUGUCACCAAACUCACUCACUGUUGGAAAACAACACCGAAGGACACGCAUGGACGUGAGCUGGAAACUUCUUUAAUCUUUGGCAAAUGAAAGGCGUCUGUGACCAAAGACGGCACAAACAGCGAGGGAAAAGACUUCACUCUCUCAGACACUCGCCUUGUAUGGCUUUAUUUUUUCCUCCUGCACUCACGGUAUUGGGGUGCACCAUGUGGUUCUUUUAUAAAACAAAACAAAGGAGAUAUAAUAGUACCUGGGUGUUUUUGUUGUACAUAAAUGACACUGUAUAAAAUCUUUAAAAAAAAAAAAGAAUUGGUAGCUUCACAGAUUGUUUAUGCACUGAUUUGAGUUGAUGAAGCUUUGCAGAGCCAGUGCAUUUGUAUUGAGAGGUCGACACUUUUCGUGCAGCCUGGAGUGUGUCUUCUGACGUGCUCUUCCCAAAUAUAAAAAGGAACAAAAAAAGCUGUAUGUGAAUGAAACGAAUGGAGAAAAAAAAAUGAUGCUUGAUUUUCAACAGAGGACAUUUUCUUUAAAGACAACAGCUACUCUGCUCUGUCCGAGGGACAUUCUUCAGAGAAAUGAUAUUUUGCUGCAUGUUAUGUCACUUUAUUUUUAACGCUUUCCUUUCUUUCUCUUAAUUCAAAGCACUGUAAUACAACUUAGAGAGGGUGUGAUGGUACUUCUGUCUGUGUGAGCACUCAUAGUAACCCAAACAUCUGUCAUCUAUAACUGUUUUGUUUUUUAUUUAAUUUCCUUUUCUUUUCUUUUUUUUUUACAAAUGAAAUGACACUCCACAUCCUAGUGGCGAGAUAGUACAGCAUCCUUCUUAUGCAACAGGAAAGUACUGACACUGUCCAAUGCAUCUUUCAGACUAGCACAUUGUUAGCUCUAGACCGCUAGCAACGCUGUGUGUGUGUGCGUUUGUCUGUGUGUGCGCGUGUGUGUGUUUAACAUUAAGAAAAAAAAUCCAUGCAUACUAGAAGUGUAUAUUUAAACCUUUAGUUCUACUGUGGUUUUUAAAAGGGGACUUUUACGUUGAUGAUUUUUAUCCUGUUUAUUUGCUUCUAUUUACAUGAGAACAGAGAAUCUCAUUUUUAGCCCCAUCACUCAAAUCGAAAUCUUUGUAAUCACAUACAAAUCACUGUCAGUUAUUAAAAAUGUGACUUUCUGUUCAUGUGUAAAUUGAAUUUCUGUUUGUUUUUUUUUUCAUAUGAAUCCACCCUAAGCAUCCAUUGUUGAUAAUAAAUCUGGUACCGACAUGUAUGACAAACCAACAUAGCCUACACUGGAUGAUCCAAGUAAUUAUUUAAGCAGAAAAAUAAAUUGUGUUUAAACUGAACCUCUGCUAGUCAGUCUGAUUUCUCUUUCUGGUUGCACAGGCCCAAUGAAAUACUGGCAUGAAUCAUAC
ensembl:lncRNA